rnacentral:rRNA from 1 species
AUUGAACGCUGGCGGCAGGCUUAACACAUGCAAGUCGAGCGGGGUGAUGGUGCUUGCACUAUCACUUAGCGGCGGACGGGUGAGUAAUGCUUAGGAAUCUGCCUAUUAGUGGGGGACAACAUCUCGAAAGGGAUGCUAAUACCGCAUACGUCCUACGGGAGAGAGCAGGGGAUCACUUGUGACCUUGCGCUAAUAGAUGAGCCUAAGUCGGAUUAGCUAGUUGGUGGGGUAAGGGCCUACCAAGGCGACGAUCUGUAGCGGGUCUGAGAGGAUGAUCCGGCACACUGGGACUGAGACACGGCCCAGACUCCUACGGGAGGCAGCAGUGGGGAAUAUUGGACAAUGGGGGGAACCCUGAUCCAGCCAUGCCGGGUGUGUGAAGAAGGCCUUAUGGUUGUAAAGCACUUUAAGCGAGGAGGAGGCUCUUUUGGUUAAUACCCAAGAUGAGUGGACGUUACUCGCAGAAUAAGCACCGGCUAACUCUGUGCCAGCCGCCGCGGUAA